rnacentral:lncRNA from 1 species
UGAAAGUUUGCUGGGGCCCCUCAGGCUGUGGCUCUCAACAGGGGCCAAGAGGCAGGCCCCCCUCUAGCUGCAGCCCUGGGACAGGUGUGAAGGUGUGGGGCUGUCCCAAAGGGCUGCCUUGAUGCAGAGUGUGUCCCACCAGGUCCCCAAGGACUCCACUGGGGGGGUCCUGACGGAGGAAGACAGGAUCUCUGGAAGCAUCCGUGUCUUGGAGUGUGGAGCUGGCAGCUCGGUUGGGUUCCCCUGGUGAGUGGAGUGUGGUGGAUGGUGUGAGGGUGUGGGGUGGGGUGCACAUGUGGGCGUAGGGUGAGGGUGGGGUAUCUGCUGUUGCCGGCAGGCAGGCCUUGACGAGGGGCUGGGCAGAGCCAGUGCCCGGGGCCACCCCCAUCCUGGAGGAUGCAGACAGGGGUUCCUGGGCUUGCAGAGGGCAUCUUGGAGUGCCCAGCUGUGGCCCCCUGUGUUCACCAAUCCCAAGCGGGGAGCCUGCUGGGCAGCCGGCCGGGCACCAGCACUCUGCGACAGUGGUCCACUUCACCUGUUGAAUAGAGCCCUUGUUGCUUUGAGGAUUAAAAAGGGCAGUUUUUUUCCUCUCUUCUCCCCUCUCCCCUCCCUAAGGAGAUGGGGGAACUCUGUUGUCUUUUCUCCCCCUAGGGGAUUGUCCUUGGACACCCCCACCUCAGGAAGGAGGUGUCUGCUGAGGACCUAAGAAGUGAACUGCAGCUCACCUCAGGGCACAGCUGGGACCUGGCAGGGCACAGCUGGCCUGUGGCCUUGAAUGGCUCCUGAAAGCCCUCGGCUCCCUGAGGGGCAGAACCCCAGCCUCCGGGACUGAGUCCUCUGCGCUUCUCCUUUGCUCCUCCCUUUCCUCUUCCUGAAAACCGUGUCCUCCUUAUUAAAUCGGCAUGAAGUGGCAUCCAGGACAAGGACUGAGCUCUCCGUGACAGUCUGGGUGGGUGCAGUGGAGCUCCCGCACCACCUUG